AACAAAUAUUUCAAAUAUCACAUAGAACUGAUAAUCAAAGUUAUAAGCAAAAAAAAAGAAGUCAUUAACUCAAACAUUUAAUACGGUAAACGACCUCUAUCAUAUUCAUCUGUGAUGCUCUUACGCAAAGCUUCCAUCGCUCUAUCACCGGUCAGCUCAUAUACAAUAUGUCCACCACCACCACCACCACCAUCAUCAUCAUCAUCAUCAUCAUCAUCAUCAUCAUCAUCAUCAUCAUCAUCAUCAUCAUCAUCACCUUCUUUUCCUUCUUCAUCACCAUCAGCUCCUUCUGCUUCUCCUUCUCCAUCAUCAUCACUUUGCCAUUGUACAAAAUCAUGAUUUUCUCGAUGUGAAUCACGUAUGAAGUUGUGUAGCGUCAUCGUCGUUGUCACGAGCUUAAUCCACUUGACCAGACCAUACUUUGGAUGCUUACGAUCCAAAAUCCUCUAUUUUGCUUUCCAUACUCCAAAUGUCCUCUCAAUCACUGAUCGCAAUCCUGAAUGCUUGCGGUUGAACAACUCUCGUGCACUAACUGGUCGGAUAUCCCGAGUCAACUAGAUAAUAUUUUCCAGGAGGAGGAUGUGGGAAAGAAGCCUCAUUCUUCGCAUAAUGAGUCAAGACCUUUGUAUCAUGUGCUCUACCAGGUACACCAAGAUAUGCGUAUAUGAACUUCAUGUCGAAGUUACAUAUAGCAAGAACAUUCAUUGUAGGAUCUUGCUUUCUACCUUUAUAUGCUUCUGCAUUUUAACUUGGAGGGCGAACCGGCACAUGAGUUCCAUCGAGUGCUCCAACACAAUCUCUGAAAUGAGGCCAAUACCAAUCAUCAUUCCUCAAAACAGGACUCACUCUUCCAAACUCGCCUUCUUGUGGUCUUAAUGUAUCAUGCGCAAACUUGAGAAGAGCACUCAAAACUUCAUCAAGCUUCCUUUGGACCGUAUCCACUGAUCUUUGAUACCUUGCAGUAAUAUCCCGCUUCGUCUUAUCUUGACCAACAGUCUCGAGAAACAUCGCCACAGAUUCUUCAAGGUAGACAUGGUGAGUCUCUUUCAAUCCAUAUCGCUCAGCUAGCAUUUUGCACAAAACUUCAAAAGUCCUUUGAUUCAUUCGAAGAAUGUCCUAACAUUUAACCUCUUUGUUAUAAUAAGUCUCUUUGUUAUUAGGUCGGUUGAUAAGAAAUCUGUUGGCUAUGUCUAUCUAGAAUAAUAUUUAACCUCUGGUUCGGAGAUUGACAAAGGAAUAUAGAUUUUUUUUUCUUUUUUGAGAAAUAGAUUAAUGAUAAUCUGUCUACAAAAAAGAAUAAGGGCAAUCGGGAUGGAUUAAAAAACAAUUUCAAUCAUCUGAAUCUCUAUCUAUCACCGUAAUUAUUGUCAUCAUUUCUUUUACUUAUUAACCAAAUAUAUAAUAUUCGUUUUCAUAUUUUUGCCAUCACAUCUUUCAAACGCAACCACCAUCUCUUUGAUAUUUAGGUUAGAAUUUAUAUUUCUAGUUUAAUAAAUAGAAUUUAUAUUUCUAUUUAAGUUUAGUGAUUAAUGUUUUGGGCUUAGUGUAUGCAAAGUUUGGGUUGAUGUUAGGGUAACUAUUAUCUCUUUACCUCCAAUCAUACAAUUUAAAAUUUAAACAAUACUAGUGGUUAGUCCGCCCUACGGGCGGGAUAAUUGCCAUUUAUAUUAUUAAACAAAGAAAAUUAGUCAUCAAAUAAGAUUUUUAAUUGAACUAUACUGUUGUAGGUGCUUUCUAUGUUGAAGGUUUUUUUUUCUUUGUUAGAUGUGAAUAGCUGAUGGAGCCGCUAGUUUUAGAGAAGCUUGAUGAUGAGUUUAUUUCAAUAUAGUAGUAUGCAUAACACAAAAUGUUUGUUUGUUUGACAUAGUGGACGUAUACAAAUAGUUGAACAUAUGGUAGAAGUCAAGAAAUGACACUGACGAUUUUUUUAUUGAACAGUAAUUGUUAUUAGUCCACACAUUAACUUCACCCUAUUACAACUGUCAAGGUAAGAAAAUGUGAAUAAAAUUUACAGAUUUAUCCUACUUCAUUUUCUAGUCUCCUCUCUCUCUCUUUUUUUAUCUUCCACUACCUCGGCCAAAUCCAUUUUUUUUCUUUUUGUCCUCGUUUCCUGUAAAAGAAAAGCCUUUCUUCUUCUACUUCAACACCACCUUAAAAUUCUAAAAAAAAAAAAAAUCCAAUUUUCAAAGUGACGACUGUUUCAAAUUUGACUUUCCCUAUCACUUUUGUUAAGAAAGUUCCUAAAAAAGUUACGAAAUCUCAUAUGCGUAUCUUCUGUUUCUUUCUUUCACAUAUAGCCUUAUAGGUUUCGUUUUUAGCAGAACGGUGUCUGAACCUGCCACUUGUCAAUGGGAAACUGUUGAAUGGGAUGGAAGCAACCUGGUUACGAUGAUUUGGCCUAAAACAAAAGAGAUUCGUGGAACUCCUGAUCUUCACAACCUCACGGAUUUGACUAUGUUGGAGUUCUUUGAGUAUCAGAUUUCUGGUUCGAUUCUUGAUCUCACCGGUCUCACUCGUUUGUAGACGCUGAAUCUAGACAACAAUCUCUUCACUCUGAUCCCAAGAAUCUACUUUCUGGCAUAAGCUCGCGUCAAAAAGCGUAACGAUCCAUGAAACUCUCAAGGAAGCGCGUCUCUCAAGAACCUCCCCUCACCAAUUGAACGUAACCGAGACGAUCCUUGAUGUCUUCAGUUUCAUCGGGUUUGCUAUAAUCUGAAGACAUGACCAGACAAACUUUUGUCUCUGGUGUAACGAACUCUCAUGCCGGAACAAUAGCUUCUCCGGAUGACUCAAUGACUACGGGUGACCCGUUACGUGCUGUAAGUAUACACUAUGCCAUCCAGAUAUUAACAGAAAACCAUGUCAGAAAACACAACGCUUAUGUUUUUUAAGAGUCAAACCUUGUUCAUCGUGCAGUUCUGGUUAUUCGUCAGGCAUCUUGGUACACAUCAUGAUCGUUGUCAUCACCAUGUCUGGUAAUUAUGUUCUUGAUCUUCUUAGCUUUUUCUUCAUUUUCUUGUAUAUUCUAGUGGUAACAUUCUCUUGAGGAGCUUAUUCCUAUGAUCCCACAAUAUAUAAGGCAAACCCAUUAUUAAGAUUGUCUUGUUUGAUUUCAAUUAUGGCUGCGCAAAUGUAUAUACCUGGAUGGAGAAAUCAUUCAUGCUCUGACUGCCAGCAACAAUCCUAUUAUGCUUCUCGAUAUCUACGGCCGUCAAGCAACACCCCCUUGCUUGCACUUUCUUGACUUCUAUAUAAAUUCUUCUUCUCGUUGAAGUUGUUCUGCUCAUCGCUUGAAGGUUAGAAGAUUUAUACUGAAAUUUUGUACAAUGAACCCUUGAUAGCUUAUUUAUAGGAUCCAAAUCCUGAAGAAUCCGAAGAGAUCGAAGGUUCUGGUGAAUUUAGGAGUAGUGAGGAGAGAAUUUAAUGAGAUUAAAUGUUGUGUUUAUGGAUUGAACAUAAAUAGUGAUUCAGUUACUUGAUCUCGCGAUGAAGAAGAUAUUAGAGUUUCAGGAUGCGGCUUGAAGAAGGGGAGUGGUUGCAAUGGGCCAAAAGUAGAAAAAGCCCAACACAAAUAACCAUAAGUGAAGCAUAAAGAACCAAGCCCAGUCAAUAACACAACACAAAUCCGUAAAUUUUAAACGCGUGAGAGGGAGCUGACGUGCCACUCUCUCUUUCCUCUGCGGUGCCUGACGUGUCCGAAUGCAGACUUCCUAUUGGUCGAUUUUUUUUGUGGACAGCCUCCCUACUCCUUAUAUAUCCCUUUUAGUAUUAGUUAGAUGUAAUAUGUUAUUUUGUUUGUUACAAUUCUAUUUUAAUAAUGCUUCAUAUAUUAUGUACUAUAUGCAUAUUUUGAUAUCCAGGUUAGGCUUUAUAUUUCUUUUAGGAUUUAGUGAUUAGUGUUUUAAGUUUAGUUUAGUGAAAGUUUGGGUUGACACUGGGGUAAACAUUACAUCAUUUUCUCUAAUACAAUUCAUUUGUUACUAUUAUAUUUUAAUAAUGUUUUUUGUGUCAUCAACUUAAAUAGACUCAAAUUGACUCUGUAAAUAUUUUAAUAAUGUUUUAUAUUAUAUAUUAUUUAUAUAGUUUGACAUUUGGGUCAGAAUUUAUAUUUUCUUUUAAAGUUUAGUGAUUAGUAUUUUAAGUUAGUUUAUGGAAGAUUCGGAUGUUCAUCAAACUAUUUAAUAAUUUUAUUAAUAUGAACUAUACCAUUUAGCAUAUUUUAUUCUAUAUAUAUAAUACCAUCACUAUCAUCGAGAAUGCUAUAACCACCGCAACUCUAACAACACUUUUUCAUUUAAGUGACAUGGUAUUACCGUCAACUGGCUUUGGAAAAGAAGAAAAACAGAAGGAAAAGAGAAAAAAAUGUUCGAAAAUCUAGUUACGUCAACAUCAAUGCAAUAUUCUUAAUUUUGCUCUUAAAAUUGGUUAUUACAUAAAUUAACCCAAAAAUAGAUAAAGAUAUAAAUUUCCCAUUUUAUGUAAUACUCCAUCCAUUUUAUUUUGAUAGAUUUAUAAUGUUUUCAUACGUAUUAAACACAUGUUAAUUUUUAUCAUUUAUACUAUAAAAUCAUUUGGCAAUUAUGCGAGUAAUAUAUGUCAUCCAACAUUUUCAUGAUAAAAACUGUAUUAGCUUUUAUAAAACAAACUAGUUUUAUCAAAAUGUGUAUAUUUUCUAGUAUCCCAUAACUGCGCCUCUUUUCAGUGUCUUCUCUGUCAAAGGGUAUUUCCAACCCAUAAUAUUACUUUAAUAACAUUGUUUACAAACAAAAGAAUAUAUAUUAUUUUAAUGCAAAAUCAUAUUAUUUACUUAUUUCAGCAUUAAAAUAAUGUCCUCAAACACAACACCAAAUUUCACAUCAAAACUAAACUUUUUUUAUAUUAUUAAGUUAAUUUUUUUAUUAUAUUCUAAUAUAUAAAAUUUAUUAUGUAACUAUCAAAUGCUAAUUACUUGUGAAAACGGAAAAUUUACCUACUAAUUUUACUUGUUCAUAGUGAAUCACUAGUUACAAAAUACAGCCCACUAGAUAAAGAAAAUAAAAUAAAUUGUGGAUAUAAAAUCCAAAAAAAUAUCCUAUAUGAAAAUAGAAUCAAGUUUUUAUUAUAAAGAAAAUUAGAUUAUGUAUGUAUGUAUGUAUAAGGAUACAGUUGAAUAAAUCAGAAUCUAAUCUAAAAUCAUAUGUUGGUUCUGCUUUCUUUUACGAAACGUAUUCCAAAGGUUGUUUAUACACAUUUUUUUUGCAUUAUUAUUUUCAACACUUAGUAGGGGUUAUUGAUUGUUGUAUUUUAAUGGAUUUGAAAAUCCGAACUAAAUCUAGUGUUAUUAGUUCUGUGAUUUUCAAAUCUGUAUUAAUAUCAUGUGUUAUUAGUUUAAUAAUUCAUAAAUUCAAUAUCAAAUCAAGUGUUAUUCAA